GUUGACCUCGGAUCAGGUAGGGAUACCCGCUGAACUUAAGCAUAUCAAUAAGCGGAGGAAAAGAAACCAACAGGGAUUGCCCUAGUAACGGCGAGUGAAGCGGCAACAG
rnacentral:rRNA from 1 species